CCCGCGUGUAGGAAGUUUUGGCCAAUCUGCUCCGCGCGUUCCGCGUCCAAUCCUACCCUUCGCCUCGUCCCACUCCCACUCUCACUCCAGCCGCCACACAAACCCUAGCCCCCUAGCCCCCUUGCCCAAUGCCCCCGAUCCCCAUAGCCGCCGCACGGUCUCGCUCCUCCUUCCCUCCCGCCGCACCCUCUCCUUGCUCACAGCCGCCUCCUUCCCACCUUCGCCCGAGCUCCGCCUUCCUCACCAGCCUCCUCCUCCUUGCCAUCGGCGGAAGCGGUGAGCAUAGGGACAGCGGCAAUGGCUGGACGCGAUGAGCUUGCCUCUGGUGGCGCCAGGAACCUGCACGCAAAGGGCGACCCCAUGGAUCCAUCCCUGUAGGAGAGAGAAGAUGCGGAAGGAGGAUUGAAGGACAGGGGGAGGUAGGUGUGCUGGGCGGGGUGGUCUCGCCAGCGAUGACAGGGCUGAUCGGCCGGAGUUGGAUCGAGAUCCCGGCUGGCACGGCUCAGCUCCAACUCCCUCUUCCACCUCUCCGCUCCCCGACACUCAAAUCUGGCUCUUCUGCACACAUCAGUAGCUAUGGAAAGAAAGCUUGUAGUGGAGUGGGUUCCUUUGUAUGAUCUUGGAAGAUGGUCUGUGUUGUUGACUAUGGACUUCAGACCGUUUCUAUUUUCCUCCGUGAACCUACCACUGAUGCUUUGGAGGUCCUUGCUUUGUGUUGAUGACCUCUGAAGCCCAUUAGAAAGCAUGGCAACGGCUUAAGGUUAGCGCAUUUCGAGAAGCCAAUAGGUCGCCGCCUACUUCCUUAGGCUGACAAUCACCUGCGGGAUAAAGUGCGAUGUUUUGCCUGAGACAGGAUCAAGGACUGGGCCAACGUGGUUGUCGCGCACGAACUAGUGUAGCCCAUUGGCACUGGUAAAGUUGUAUCGGCGGCUCAGGCACAUGAACUAAGUUCCUCCGUUUAGGUUUAUUGGUGUUUCUGAACUAGCAGGCACAAUUCAUCUCGUGACCGCUGGCCGUUGUCUUCCCUUCUCCUAAAAUUUGUGACCAAGCGAUUAAACCUGAAAUUGAAGCUUGGUCUUUCUCAAGAUUUACCAUGGUGUAAUUUUAUGCUACAGUCAAGCCUUGGAUAGAAAAUAAACAUGUUAUGAAGAUGAUAUAUCAGUUUUAGAAAUACAUAUUGAAGGACUAUAGCAGCUUUUCUUUUUACGAAAUUUUGUUUUGUUGUUUUUCCAUCUAAAUCCAGUUGCCACCAUGGUAAUUUCUUUUCAGUCCCAACUCUCCUCCUGUCCCCCGCACUUGCUUGCUACGGGUUCUUGUUGUGUGUGUGCUUGUUGGCUUAGUGACGUGUGUGUUCAGGCACGCAUUGUCUUUGCCUGCCAGGGUGUUCGCGCUGCUACUUGGCCGGUUACAGCGAGUAGGAAGCUGAUAGGGUGGUAUUUCUCCCUGGUCAGCCAAGGAGUUCGCACAUCUCUCGGUUCUCUGGGCAUGUCACCAUGAACAAGCAGAGUGGGAGGACGCUCUUCUACUGGUUCUUGGAUGCUCAUGCACAGCCUCUCCUUCUCAAGCUCAAUUGGGAUUUCUUACUUACCUCAUUCUCUUGUUUUUAUUUUUUUUACUUAGUCACUUAUUUCUGGAAAGAUUUUGUAGUUAUUAUCUUGAGCUGCUUGUAGUUCAAUAAUGUUUCAGUUGCUACUUGGGGUGCAUACCUGAAGGAUAAUAAACAUUAUUUUUGUUCUGUGUACAUGCAGGACCAGGUUGCUCAUCAGUUGGAUGUGGAGUUGCUUCUGAGCUAGGACUCUCCCAUGAUCACUACAUAGAAAAAGAUACAUCCAGUUUGGUUUCUAAUGUCUGUUUUUGCCUAAGCAAAAACGGUAACAAGUUUAUAUUUUCGUAUGGUUCUCAGUUUGUCUUUUCAAACUAUUAGAUUGUCCGGAACAUCUAGGAACGACCUUUUUGUGUCCCCAACAUUAUCCUAUUUUGUGAAUAAUCUUAUAUUGUUGAUGCUGCAUACAAUCAAAGUAUGUUCUUAUAAUCAUACUUAUGGCUAGCCAAAUUUUAUGGGCCCAACCUUAUACUCAUUAGAUACAACCUUUGUAUCUGCUUUUGCCAGUUGUCGCUUACCAGGUGCGACCUAGUGGGUGGUGGCGGCUCGAUCCACUCUUGGAUCCUUCUUACACUUCCCUGCCGGCUAGGUCAGCUACGACCUGGUGGGUGGUGGCGGCUCGAUCCACUCUUGGAUCCUUCUUACACUUCCCUGCCGGCUAGGUCAGCUACGACCUGGUGGUUGGUGGCGGCUUGAUCCACUCCUGGAUCCUUCUCCCACUUCCCCGUUGCCUAACACCGAGCACCCGGAUGGGAGCAUGGGAUCGACGGUGGCCGGAAACAUGAUUUAAAAUGGGACUUUAUACCACCAAAUAAGAAUGUGUGUACAUAUAUCUCAUUGUACACAACAACACACCGUUUUUUUGGGUAAUACUCUACCCAGGCUCAAUUCGUCCUAGCAAAAGAAAUCACAUCAGGAGCAAAAGAACGAAUUCGCUACUAACAUUUCAAAUCAAGAUUUAUCCAUCUAAUAGUCCCAAAAUAUAUUUCUGUUCUCAUUAUUGCAACAGCCUUUUCUGUACCAACAAUGUGACACUACACUACAAUAUAUUUUCACAGGCCAUGGAAAAAUAAAGAAUUUGACAAUAGAUAGCCUCCAGUCUAAAAUUAUAAUUUUGCACGCACUUUGGAGCUAUUGGAUGCCUGAAAAUAUCGGUCCUCAUGUAAUCUAACUGUCACACCUCUUGAAUCCAAUUAGGAACUCUUUCAUUAUUGGUUAUAAAGUGUUUGAUUUGGUCAGUUAAUACUCCCUCUGUUCAUAAAUAGAAGAUAUUUUAGAGACAAGCUGCAUAUUUAAUGAAGCAUCCACUUGCUGUAGGAAGCAUGUUUUAUGGUUCUGUACCAGGUAAGGUGUUCAGUAACCUAUUUAACAAUGCUUUCCAGCUUCUUUCCAUGUUCUAACAUACUUCAUGUGUUGUGUAAUAAUCUACUGAUGGCCAGUUACAACUCCAUUUCACUAUGGACACUGCAUAUGAUGUUCUUUAUUCUCAGCAAAGCAAACAUCUCAUUUGUUUCUCAUACUAUUCUCUACAAAAAACUAGGCGUUGCUGAAGCUGGAGUCAUGAUGGCGUUAGUAAUCUUGGUGAUGCUUCUUAUAUGGCAAACCAACUUGUUUUUGAUUAUCCUAUGGGUUAUUUAUCCAGAUGUUGCAUAUAGGAGUAUUGUGGAGCUAAUAAUAUUUGAAUCUGAGCUAGCAUACUAUUUCAAUUUGACUUCAAAAAUUAUAAAUCUUAGUAUUUGUUUUCAGUUAUCAAUCUUCUUCCCUUCUCCUUUUUUGGGUCACUUUUGAUAGCUUCUUUCAUUCUGUACAUUUUAGUUGCUGCCUCAAGCCUUGGCUCUUUUUCUAGACUAGGCCUCAAUUUAUGGGAAAAUGCAGUCUUCAUUUACUGAGUUAUAUUUUUGUCUUGGUUUCUUCCAGGUCCCUCGUACAGUGGUUCAGAAAAAAACCCUAUCCAAUGGAGAUGAUGCAUGAGGAGCGGCAAAGUCAUGAUCCAUAAAGCCCUAUGCUAUUCUUUUUCUCACUGUGAUUUUACUUUUUAUGGUUGGAUGCCAAGUAGCCAAGCAGACGCUUUUUGGUAGAUUAGUUGCUUAGUUUCAUAAGUUGAACUGCGUUGUCGAGUGCAGUGUGUAGGCUCUUUCUCGAUUGCUCAGCAGGCGAUCAAUGCGGCACAUGUGGAGGCUGUGAGAGCUGUGAAUGGCACCGGUCUUGUCAUACUUAUGAGCAGGAGCACGGGCCACAUUACUCUUCAUGCCACUCUGAGCAGCCGAGAUGUUGACUGCUGGUUGAGAUUGAUUUCCACGUUGAAUGGAAGGGAGACCUAUUUGAGUUCCUA